rnacentral:lncRNA from 1 species
AGGUUUUAACCAUUCUCCACAUGUUGAGUGUGCGGAUUGCGUUUUGGUUACAAAUAACUCUUCGAAGAUCUCGUCCAUUUGACUCCUUCCUUAUUUUUUCCCCCAGCCUGCUUCCAGCUUUGGGAGAUGCAGUUGGGUGGUCAACUCGACGGCCCUGUCGCCCCCCGACUUCUGGCUGGUUCCGGCCACUUUGGGAGCCCGGCAGCUGGAUUCUCUAUUUCCCUGGCUCACUCCCUGCUUUGACUGAAGGUCACGGUGCCUCUUCUGGCGUUAAGGCAGAAAUAAGGAUUGCAUGGUGGCCUGCUGAGUCUGGGAGUCUUUGGGAACCCUUCAAAACAACAUAAAUCUUCCACCCAUCCCUGUACCUUUAAAGGAGCCUGACUUAACCAAGCCCGAGCUGCUGAAACCCAAUGAAGGUGAGACUUUAACCUGCAGCUCCAAUGUCAACAGUUGCCUUGGACUUGCUCAUUUCCAUUCUUUAUUCAGCUCCUCCAUAUCUUCCUGGUUCUUUACUGUCCAGCUUCUGAUUCCUUAGUUUGGCCUUACACUUUUAGCUCUGUGCUCGCCUGUAGGACCUGGUGGCCAACCAGACCCUUCUGUUUAACUUGGGGACUCUGUGAGCAUGGCUCACCUCAUUUUCUGACUCCCCUGUGCCACCCCCCUAGGUUUCUGCUUUCCCCUGCUUCUGUCAGGCUCUGGGCUUUCCAAGGGAACCUUGGACAAAAUCUAGCCACGGUCUGGGUUUGGUCAUUAGCAAGUCCUUGAUCGAUCAAAAUGUGUUCUUAUUUAUUAUCUCAAAAUGUCUAUUUGGUAUGAAAUUCCAUCUUAUAUCCCAAAUUAUCCUCCUUAGAUAAUGUCCCUUCUCUACUAGUUUACUAGGCUUGUAAGAAGAUUCUAAGAUCAAUUUGCCUCUUCCUCACGGUGAGAAAGCCGCUAGCAAUCCCCCAUCCUUACAGUAUUGGCAAUAUUUUGUCCAUUCUGACUCUGUCACUCUCUGGCACCUAUUUUUAUGAAGAUUACUUUACAGGGCCAGGCCUAAUGAUUAGGAGGAUCAUUAGUCCAAUGGGUAGAGCACAGUGAAACACAUUUGGCAUAACUGCCCUGGGUUUAUGCCAAAACGUCUAGAGAGGAGAGACCACAGUUCUUGCCAAAGCCCUGAGCCCCAAUGCAGGCCCAUGAAUCCUGCUAGUUAGAGGGUUUAGCCAGCCCUCGUUUUAAUUAAAAUUUUGAUUGUACAGUUGUUUGAUGCCUAAACUAUUUCUUACCAGCUUGAAUUCCACAGACUUCCAUAACCUAUUACCGAGGGCUAUUAAAUAGAUCUACUUCAGCCAAUCAUUAUCAAAAUCAGCUCAAUAACUAAACAGGCAGAUUUAGCUUUCCAAACCAAUCUUCCUAUUAUCCAGAGUUUUCUAGAUAAUAACGAGUAAACUGUGGUCAUGCUAUUGUGUCUCUUGGGAUCUGAAUGGAUUUUUAUUUCAUGCAGACAGGUAGGAAGCUGAAAAAGAAAACACACACACAUUUCGGGAAGAACCACCUAACAUUUAUUUCAGGAUUGUUUCAUCAGGCAAAAGGCUGCCUUUUAGUGGCUUUGAUGCUUUCUGAAACCUUUCAAGCUACAAGGAGAGUGAUUCUGGUUUGUGUGGCUAAAAUGCUAGAGAGGAUGAUUGGUUUCAUUAGCCAGGGAGGAGUGAUAAUAUGCUGCAAUACUUCUCUAGUUAUUGGGCACUUUAUAUUAAUAACUCAUGAUGACUGGAGUGUUUAGGUGUAUAUUUCAAACUCAGUGUAAAAUACCAUGCCAUUAAGAAUUUAAACACAUUCUAAUUUAAUUAUGGCCAAGAGCUGGUUCCAAGCGAUCCCAUGUUUUUGUUGGCUAGUUUCAAUAUUGCAAAUUUCAAAUAUGGAAAGAUUUAUUUUCUUUUACUCCUUGCUUCUUUUAUUCUGGAUUGUUAAAAACCCUAAUCAUUUAAAAGAACACACAUUUGGAAAAUGAAGUGCAACUGAAGUUAUGGAAAAUUCAAGUUUUCUUCAAUGCUAUUUUGUUUUCCACUUUGAAAUGUGCCAGUUUUUUUUUUUUCUCCUACCCAUAACAUAUUGAUUACUCACAGGUUCUUUUUACCUUCUUUUUGUCCUUAAAUGGCUUCUCCAUUCCUCAAACAGCCUUGUCACAGAAUUUUUCUAUCAUGGGCUAAACGGGGGAAAAAAAUCUACCACUUGAAAAAUUUGUCAGAGACCAUCAUUUAGUUACCAUCCAAGUCAGCUAGAGAUGACUGCCUGGGCCCUGCCUUCUGGGGGCCUCUGACUUAGCUGGGCAACUAUAAAGAAGAGGGAAGGAGUUAGCCCAGAACAACUAGUAAUGAAUAAAAUUGGGGCUCAUGUGUAAAUUCA